UUUGCCUGUAAAAAAUUUUCA
ensembl:piRNA 21ur-8424 ncRNA